CACCCAAGAGAGCUGCAGACACAUCGUGACCCAGCAAUUCCACAAGCAGGUCUACACCCGAGACAGCUGCAGACACAGGUUCACACAGCAACUCCACAAGCAGGUCUACAUUCCACAAGCAGGUCUACACCCGAGACCCCAGCAACUCCACAAGCAGGUCUACACCCGAGAGAGCUGAAGACACAUGUUCACACAGCAACCCCACAAGCAGGUCUACACCCGAGAGAGCUGGAGACA
rnacentral:lncRNA from 1 species